GUGGCCUAAGUGAUUAAAGUAUCUGCCUCAGAUGCAGGAGGUUGCAGGUUUGAACCCUGGCCAAGUCA